rnacentral:rRNA from 1 species
UACCACCUGAACGCUCCCGAUCUUGUCUGAUCUCAGAAGCUAACCAGGGUCAGGGCCUGGUUAGAACUUGGAGGAAGGAAUGUAUCAGGGC